AGAGUUUGAUCAUGGCUCAGAAUCAACGCUGGCGGCGUGCCUCAGACAUGCAAGUCGAACGAUUAAAGCUCUCUUCGGAGAGUGUAUAGAGUGGCGCACGGGUGAGUAACACGUAAGUAAUCUACCCUCGAGUGGGAAUAACAACCGGAAACGGUUGCUAAUACCGCAUAAUGCAGCGGCACCGCAAGGUGACAGUUGUUAAAGAUUUAUCGCUUGAGGAGGAGCUUGCGGCAGAUUAGCUAGUUGGUAGGGUAACGGCUUACCAAGGCUACGAUCUGUAACCGGUCUAAGAGGACGGUCGGUCACACUGACACUGAAUAACGGGUCAGACUCCUACGGGAGGCAGCAGUCGGGAAUUUUGGGCAAUGGGCGAAAGCCUGACCCAGCAACGCCGCGUGAAGGAUGAAGUAUUUCGGUAUGUAAACUUCGAAAGAAUAGGAAGAAUUAAUGACGGUACUAUUUAUAAGGUCCGGCUAACUACGUG
rnacentral:rRNA from 1 species